AUUGAACGCUGGCGGCGUGCCUAACACAUGCAAGUCGAGCGGCAGCGCGGGAGCAAUCCUGGCGGCGAGCGGCGGACGGGUGAGUAACGCUUGGGAAUCUGCCUGUUAGUGGGGGACAACCCGGGGAAACUCGGGCUAAUACCGCAUACGCACUACGGUGGAAAGCCGGGGACCGCAAGGCCUGGCGCUAACAGAUGAGCCCAAGUCGGAUUAGCUAGUUGGUAGGGUAACGGCCACCAAGGCGACGAUCCGUAACUGGUCUGAGAGGACGACCAGUCACACCGGAACUGAGACACGGUCCGGACUCCUACGGGAGGCAGCAGUGGGGAAUAUUGGACAAUGGGGGAAACCCUGAUCCAGCGACGCCGCGUGGGUGAAGAAGGCCUGCGGGUUGUAAAGCCCUUUCAGUGGGGAAGAAAAGCCUCGACCUAACACGUCGGGGUCUUGACGUAACCCAUAGAAGAAGCACCGGCUAACUCUGUGCCAGCAGCCCG
rnacentral:rRNA from 1 species